ensembl:lncRNA
AUGAAAUCCAGUAUGCAGCUGCUGAAGGAGGGUCUGGAGUCCCUGCCAGCCCAGCUGAAUGACCAGUUCCUGAAAUCGUGUAAAGAACUUGGCUUCCUGAUGCCGUGUAAUGCCUCAGCUGGGCAGCACACGCUUUUGUCUGGUGCCAGCCUGGCCCCUCACACGACAGAUAAAUCUUCCCAGACCUCCCCGGGGCCGUGCCAGUACUGUGUCCUGAGUGAGGAGCACCUGCACAAGCCAUGCUGCCCAGGCAGGGGAGUUUGCAGCUGUUCAGGCUGGUCUUAUUUCCCCUGUGUGACAGUGGGACAGCAAAACAGAGCCUCCCCUGGAGGGAACCAGCUCACUGGAAAUGGCACAUCUAAGGGUGACCUAAACCCAGCCUCAGAGGACAAAGCCAACCCCAUUGCUACAGCAGCCUGUGGCACAGCAAACACCUUUUUGCAUGAGGUGAAAUGCAGCUUGGAGACACAGAGCUGUGCUGCCCAUCCUUGCAUGUGCUGGGCUGGCAGUCACUUUUUGUGGAGUGGUCAGAAGAAACAGUGUCCUGUACCACUGGAAGGGCCUCUACGAACCCCCCUGAGGAAGGUGUUCAGGAGAAGCACUCAAGGGUUUAAACCCCUGACACCAUCACAGCAGCAGCAGCCUCAAGUUUGCCACCAUUCUACACAGAAAGCUACACCUGGGCAAAGACACAGCAACUGGCCCACAAACCAUGAGGUGGAGAAGGCAGCUGUAGGGAACAAAACAAAACUGAGUCCAGGAAGGAUGUUCUGGAAAACAAAAAUAAGGAGAAAGACAACACACUCCACCAAGGGGAAAGGUGAACGCUCUGGAUGUGCUGACAGUGGGCUGAAGCAGAGGAAGGCAACUGGGAUUAUUGACUUUGAAAGCUCCAGAAAAAAUACCCAUCACAGCUACUUGGUUGAUCUCAAUUCAGAAAACUCUGACCUGGUUUUUGCAGCUCCCCAUCAGCAGAUCCUCAGCAGUCCUAAGAUGGGGCUUACAAAGAAUUUCACACCAGUGCCACACUCUGAUAAAAGCUUGCAACAACCUGAAAGCAAAAGAAAGAGAAGUCCUGAAAUUAAAAAAACAAUGAAUGUUUCCAGUGUAAAAAGGUAUCUCCUGGAUUCCUCUCCCGAGGAGAAUGUACUCUCCCUGUGUAGCACAACAGGUGUAAAGCAAAUGAGCUACUUCAGCCGCCAAAGCCCCUCAAGCUCCAAGAAACCACACCCUGUCAAUCCACAGGCACAGCAGAAAACAGCCUGUUGCUCUUUACUGUUAGAUAGUGAUUCUUCUGAUUGA